rnacentral:rRNA from 1 species
AUACGGAGGAUGCGAGCGUUAUCCGGAUUUAUUGGGUUUAAAGGGAGCGUAGGUGGGAUAUUAAGUCAGCUGUGAAAGUUUGGGGCUCAACCUUAAAAUUGCAGUUGGUACUGGUUUCCUUGAGUACGGUACAGGUGGGCGGAAUUCGUGGUGUAGCGGUGAAAUGCUUAGAUAUCACGAAGAACUCCGAUCGCGAAGGCAGCUCACCGGGCCGGAACUGACACUGAUGCUCGAAAGUGCGGGUAUCAAACAGGAUUAGAUACCCUGGUAGUCCGCACAGUAAACGAUGAAUACUCGCUGUUUGCGAUACACUGUAAGCGGCCAAGCGAAAGCGUUAAGUAUUCCACCUGGGGAGUACGCCGGCAACGGUGAAACUUAAAGGAAUUGGCGGGG